rnacentral:rRNA from 1 species
GCAGGCUGNAACCCGCCUGCAUGAAGUUGGAAUUGCUAGUAAUCGCGGAUCAGCAUGCCGCGGUGAAUACGUUCCCUGGCCUUGUACACACCGCCCGUCACACCAUGGGAGCCGGUAAUACCCGAAGUCAGUAGCCUAACCGCAAGGGGGGCGCUGCCGAAGGUAGGAUUGGCGACUGGGGUGAAGUCGUAACAAGGUAUC